rnacentral:rRNA from 1 species
GAUCAUUACAGAGUUCAUGCCCUCACGGGUAGACCUCCCACCCUUGCCAUCUCAUACCAGUCUUCUAUUUUGGCAGGCUGCUGACUCCGGUCAGCGAAUGCCAGAAGAACCAAACUCAUGAUUUACAAUGCUGUCUGAGUCAUUAUUCAAUAAAACAAAACUUUCAACAACGGAUCUCUUGGUUCUGGCAUCGAUGAAGAACGCAGCGAAAUGCGAUAAGUAAUGUGAAUUGCAGAAUUUAGUGAAUCAUCGAAUCUUUGAACGCACAUUGCACCCCUUGGCAUUCCGAGGGGUAUGCCUGUCCGAACGUCAUUAUCACCACUCAAGCCUGGCUUGGUGUUAGGGCUCCGCGGUCUCCUUCGCGGCCCUCAAAUGCAGUGGUAGUGCUGUCUCGAGCCCUAAGCGUAGUAACUUACCCUCGCUACAGGACCGGGCAGCGUCUGCUAGACAACCCCAACUUUUCAAAGGUUGACUUCGGAUCAGGUAGGGAUACCCGCUGAACUUAAGCAUAUCAAUAAGCGGAGGAAAAGAAACCAACAGGGAUUGCCUUAGUAACGGCGAGUGAAGCGGCAACAGCUCAAAUUUGAAAUCUGGCUUCGGCCCGAGUUGUAAUUUGUAGAAGAUGCUUCGGGUGUGGUCCCGGCCUAAGUUCUUUGGAACAGGACGUCACAGAGGGUGAGAAUCCCGUAUGUGGUUGGUGGCCGCAUCCAUGUGAAGCUCUUUCAACGAGUCGAGUUGUUUGGGAAUGCAGCUCUAAAUGGGUGGUAAAUUUCAUCUAAAGCUAAAUAUUGGCCAGAGACCGAUAGCGCACAAGUAGAGUGAUCGAAAGAUGAAAAGCACUUUGGAAAGAGAGUUAAACAGUACGUGAAAUUGUUGAAAGGGAAGCGCUUGCAACCAGACUUGCACGUAGUUGAUCAUCUGAGGUUCUCCUCAGUGCACUCGGCUGCGUUCAGGCCAGCAUCAGUUUGGGUGGUUGGAUAAAGUCAGAAGGAACGUGGCUCUUCGGAGUGUUAUAGCCUUCUGUAAUACAGCCUACCUGGACUGAGGAUCGCGCUCUG